UACAGAGGGUGCGAGCGUUGUCCGGAAUCACUGGGCGUAAAGGGCGCGUAGGCGGUCUGCUAAGCGUGUGGUGAAAGCUCGGGGCUCAACCCCGAGUCGGCCGUGCGAACUGGUGGACUGGAGCAUGUCAGAGGCAGGCGGAAUUCCGGGUGUAGCGGUGGAAUGCGUAGAGAUCCGGAAGAACACCGGUGGCGAAGGCGGCCUGCUGGGACAUUGCUGACGCUGAGGCGCGACAGCGUGGGGAGCAAACAGGA
rnacentral:rRNA from 1 species